CCUACGGGAGGCAGCAGGGAGGAAUAUUGCGCAAUGGGCGAAAGCCUGACGCAGCGACGCCGCGUGGAGGAUGAAGGUUUUAGGAUCGUAAACUCCUGUUAAGUGGGAAGAAAGAUUCAUCUCUAAUACCAGAUGAAGGAUGACGGUACCGCUAGAGAAAGCACCGGCUAACUUCGUGCCAGCAGCCGCGGUAAUACGAGGGGUGCAAGCGUUAUUCGGAAUCACUGGGCGUAAAGGGUGUGCAGACGGUUUAUUAAGUUGCUUGUUUAAUUCUUCGGCCUAACCGAAGGCUCGCAAGCAAAACUGGUAGACUUGAGGAUGGAAGAGAGAAGUGGAAUUCUCGGAGUAGCGGUAAAAUGCGUAGAUCUCGAGAGGAACACCAAUGGCGAAGGCAGCUUCUUGGUCCAUUCCUGACGUUCAUACACGAAAGCGUGGGGAGCAAACAGGAUUAGAUACCCUGGUAGUCCACGCCGUAAACGAUGAUCACUAGACGUCAGUUUCGUUUAACGAAAUUGGUGUCGUAGCUAACGCGUUAAGUGAUCCGCCUGGGGACUACGGUCGCAAGACUAAAACUCAAAUGAAAUUGACGGGGGCCCGCACAAGCGGUGGAACAUGUGGUUUAAUUCGACACUACGCGAGGAACCUUACCUGGGCUUGACAUGCAUAUGACCGUCGUAGAAAUACGAUCUUCUAAG
rnacentral:rRNA from 1 species